CCUACGGGUGGCAGCAGUCGAGAAUCAUUCACAAUGGGGGAAACCCUGAUGGUGCGACGCCGCGUGGGGGAAUGAAGGUCUUCGGAUUGUAAACCCCUGUCAUGUGGGAGCAAAUUAAAAAGAUAGUACCACAAGAGGAAGAGACGGCUAACUCUGUGCCAGCAGCCGCGGUAAUACAGAGGUCUCAAGCGUUGUUCGGAAUCACUGGGCGUAAAGCGUGCGUAGGCUGUUUCGUAAGUCGUGUGUGAAAGGCGCGGGCUCAACCCGCGGACGGCACAUGAUACUGCGAGACUAGAGUAAUGGAGGGGGAACCGGAAUUCUCGGUGUAGCAGUGAAAUGCGUAGAUAUCGAGAGGAACACUCGUGGCGAAGGCGGGUUCCUGGACAUUAACUGACGCUGAGGCACGAAGGCCAGGGGAGCGAGAGGGAUUAGAUACCCGGGUAGUC
rnacentral:rRNA from 1 species